GACGAACGCUGGCGGCGUGCUUAACACAUGCAAGUCGAACGGAAAGGCCCUGCUUUUGUGGGGUGCUCGAGUGGCGAACGGGUGAGUAACACGUGAGUAACCUGCCCUUGACUUUGGGAUAACUUCAGGAAACUGGGGCUAAUACCGGAUAGGAGCUCCUGCUCCAUGGUGGGGGUUGGAAAGUUUCGGCGGUUGGGGAUGGACUCGCGGCUUAUCAGCUUGUUGGUGGGGUAGUGGCUUACCAAGGCUUUGACGGGUCGCCGGCCUGAGAGGGUGACCGGCCACAUGGGGACUGAGAUACGGACCAGACUCCUACGGGAGGCAGCAGUGGGGAAUAUUGCACAAUGGGCGGAAGCCUGAUGCAGCAACGCCGCGUGCGGGAUGACGGCCUUCGGGUUGUAAACCGCUUUCGCCUGUGACGAAGCGUGAGUGACGGUAAUGGGUAAAGAAGCACCGGCUAACUACGUG
rnacentral:rRNA from 1 species